GGAACUGUGAAACUAUGUAUCUUGUUGAACUAGAGUCAGCAAAGUUUGUCUAGCCUAUCCAACUCGUCAUGGAAGGCGAGAAAUUGUCUUGGCUGCUUUCAGUCGAACUCCACACUGUAUCAAGUACAUUUCUCUACACAAAACCUGUGUAAGACUUGAUUUUAUUAUGAGAAUGCCUUGCAACCCAGACUCUGCAGAUGCAAGGUCUUGCUCGAGAACUCUAAUCUUGUUUUGAAGUUCCACUAUUUCAUUUACUUGUUCAGUUAUCAGAUGUAAACCAUCAGCUUCAGCGCCUCAGUGACAUUUUUGACAACUAACAUCUUCAAUUUGAGAUCACUACUAUACACAUGUCUUGAUCAACUGCAGAUGAGGUAGAACAGCCUCUGCUUUCUGAUUUAGACAUUACAGCUAUGGAAUAGUGCGUAUGUGUUGUGUUACUUUAGACGUAACUGUUGCUGGGACUUGUAGACUGGCAGUGCUAAUUGUAAACAGACUACAG